GAGGGUAUAGCUCAGUGGUAGAGUGCAUGCUUAGCAUGCACGAGGUUCUGGGUUCAAUUCUCAGUACCUCUG
rfam:Camelus ferus unplaced genomic scaffold scaffold28233, whole genome shotgun sequence.